UUUUUUCCUUUUGUUACCAAAUUAAUUUGAAGAGCUAUUUGUGGAGGAAGGUUUGUUGCUCACCAACUCCAAACAUUAAAAUCUGAGGUCGGCCAGAUUUUGAACAUGCGGUCCCGAGAAGCAUAGAAGAGAAAAGAGCCAUCGUUCGAUGUUGUUAAGGUAUGAGAAACAUUUAGUUAUAAUGGGGAUAUCAUUGUUUUGCUUUUUUGCAUUCAAUAAUUAUGUCAUGUAGAAGUGUUAUCACGUGUAUCAUAGUGUUAUUCUCCAAAAAUAGCAAAAUAGUAGUACCCUCGUUUCAUAGAAGUCUUUCUCCUAAAACAGACAACCGUGACGAUUUGUAAGUUAGGAAGUCAGUGUGUGGCCCACAUGAAGUGACCUACGUGGUAAAUAAAUUGUUUAAUUGGUUCAAUAAAUAUUAUUUCGAAUAAUUAUAUUGGUCAAAUAAAGAGAAGUAGUUUUCUGUUUUAUUACCAUGAUGGGUGGUAAUUGAUUAUGGGCUUCACUAGGAAUCGGGUCCUCUCCGCCUAGUGCACAUACUCAUCUUAUGUGAACAUUGAUGAAAACACAUAUUAAGGUUUUGUAACGUGCAAAAAUGCUAGAGAGAGAAACCUAUU
rnacentral:lncRNA from 1 species